GAGGUAAGACAAAGAGUUUUACAAAAUUUGUUGCGCGUGCAGAACGAUUGGAGGAUAAAUACCUCAACAUCAAAGUUAAUAGUUGUUCUCUCCUCUAGUCUUCGGCGCUCGACGGAGACUUCGUCGGACCUUGAUAGUAAUUUCGCUGAUUCCUUCUCGGAGUGGGUCGUUUCUCCGUAGCAGUGCGGUCACCGUAAUUAAUUGUUGUUGUUGUUGUUAUGUUGUUCGAAGACUCCCUAAAUUCCUCUUUGGGCAAUUUCUUCGGUAAUUGUCUGAAACUGAAAAUCGAGGCAACCGUUCUAAUCGGUCUCGACUUCCCAAGACUUUUUGAGCGAAUGCCUGGUAUAAGUUGUCUGAUUCGGGACCUGCUACACGUCUUGUCCAUCUGGAGACGUAGGAGCAACUCUCUGUUCUCCCUGAGAAAGAUCUUUAACCU
rnacentral:lncRNA from 1 species